rnacentral:rRNA from 1 species
AACGAACGCUGGCGGCAUGCCUAACACAUGCAAGUCGAACGAGAUCUUCGGGUCUAGUGGCGCACGGGUGCGUAACGCGUGGGAAUCUGCCCUUGGGUUCGGAAUAACUUCGGGAAACUGAAGCUAAUACCGGAUGAUGACGUAAGUCCAAAGAUUUAUCGCCCAAGGAUGAGCCCGCGUAGGAUUAGCUAGUUGGUGAGGUAAAGGCUCACCAAGGCGACGAUCCAUAGCUGGUCUGAGAGGAUGAUCAGCCACACUGGGACUGAGACACGGCCCAGACUCCUACGGGAGGCAGCAGUGGGGAAUAUUGGACAAUGGGCGAAAGCCUGAUCCAGCAAUGCCGCGUGAGUGAUGAAGGCCUUAGGGUUGUAAAGCUCUUUUUACCCGAGAUGAUAAUGACAGUAUCGGGAGAAUAAGCUCCGGCUAACUCCGUGCCAGCAGCCGCGGUAAUGUGACUACUG